AUUGAACGCUGGCGGCAGGCCUAACACAUGCAAGUCGAACGAGUGGCGGACGGGUGAGUAAUGUCUGGGAAACUGCCUGAUGGAGGGGGAUAACUACUGUAAACGGUAGCUAAUACCGCAUACCAUCAGAUGUGCCCAGAUGGGAUUAGCUAGUUGGUGGGUUAAAGGCUCACCAAGGCGACGAUCCCUAGCUGGUCUGAGAGGAUGACCAGCCACACUGGAACGUAUACACGGUCCGGACUCCUACGCGACGCAGCAGUGGGGAAUAUUUCACAAUGGGCGCAAGCCUGAUGCAGCCAUGCCGCGGGUAUGAAGAAGGCCUUCGGGUUGUAAAGUACUUUCAGCGGGGAGUCGUUACCCGCAGAAGAAGCACCGGCUAACUCCGUGCCAGCAGCCGCGGUAAUUC
rnacentral:rRNA from 1 species